GAUUCAAAGGUCAGCUCCAAGGUUCCGAACUGGGGCCCGGGAUGUGAGGGGUUUCAGAGCCUAAAUUCCCUAGUCUGUAGCCCCGGCCCCCGAAUCCCACCCGAGCGGGGCCUUCCUUUUCCCAA